UACGGAGGGUGCAAGCGUUAUCCGGAUUUACUGGGUUUAAAGGGUGUGUAGGCGGGUCUUUAAGUCAGUGGUGAAAUCUCCGAGCUCAACUUGGAAACUGCCAUUGAUACUAUUGAUCUUGAAUUUUGUUGAGGUAGGCGGAAUAAGUCAUGUAGCGGUGAAAUGCACAGAUAUGACUUAGAACACCAAUUGCGAAGGCAGCUUACUAAGCAAAUAUUGACGCUGAGGCACGAAAGCGUGGGGAUCAAACAGG
rnacentral:rRNA from 1 species